rnacentral:lncRNA from 1 species
CGACGGCGCCGUCGUCCGCUCCUCCGCGACCUCUCUCCUUCACCGACGGCGACGAGUCGACGACGACGUCUCCUCUUAGUCCAAGCUGGAGGAUCGUCCUCACGUCGGGGUCGCAACAAGACCACGCCGUCGAUCCCGCCUCCCCUGGUUCCUCGCCGAGCGCCACGAGGAGGAAGAGGUAACCACGCCUCCUUCCCUCACUCCCUCACUCCCUGGUUGCUCUAUUCUCAAUCCUCGUGGUCGUGGGCUCGUGGCUGGUGGUGGACCAACGACAUCGGCAUGUGCUGAUGUGCGUGGCGAGAAGCCUCUACGACGGGAGCGCGUGGAUGUCCGGGCGGUUCGCGCCGACACUACCGGCGAUCUCGAUGAACGGCACGACGUGCUGAGGAUGGCGCGUGAGGAGCGGGUGGUCGUCGAAGCCGUAGCGGGAUCUGUUGGUGAUGGUGAAGGCGAGGGCUUUGAUCCAGGUGGUGCCGCACUUGGGCUGCGUGGCGAGGAUGAUGUUGUCGGCGCGGGGCACGAAGGCCUGCUUGACGAUGAGGGUUCGCUCCAGUAGCCUCGGCCUGAACCAGUACUUCUUGUAUUGGACGAGUGGUUCAGAGUUCAGACCACCCCUCUCUUGCUGGAACUGGUGGUGGUGUCACUGUCAUGUCUGGUGGCUGGUGCUAUCAUCGUAGAUUCGUAGUCAUGUAGAAAUCUCUUUGGGUACAAUCCGGUGCUGGUGGUGUACUGUUAUUGAACUGCUGGUGCUGGUGGUAUAGAAUCUGGUGAUGGUGGAUCUGGUGAUGGUGGAUCCGUGGAUGGGCUGCUGGUUUAAUUGUUUAUGAAGAAAUCUGGUCAUUGCUCUGUUUUUUAUGAAAAAAAUCUGUUUUUCUGAAGAAAAUGUUGUUGCUUUAAUUGUUUCAGUAGCCAAAUAUGCCGCUGCUACCUAUAAUUUUAGCUGCCGCUGCUGCUGUAAUUUAUGUGCUAACUAACUGCUAUGAUGUGGGUUUUUUUUGUAGGGAAUGGUGAAGGGAAAAGGAGCAGCUGGUAAGGAGAAGGAGAAUGGAAAG